rnacentral:rRNA from 1 species
ACCAGACUCCUACGGGAGGCAGCAGUGGGGAAUAUUGGGCAAUGGGCGCAAGCCUGACCCAGUAACGCCGCGUGAAGGAAGAAGGCUUUCGGGUUGUAAAGCUCUGUCAAUCGGGACGAAGAAGAUGACGGUACCGAUGAAGGAAGCUCCGGCUAACUACGUGCCAGCAGCCGCGGUAAUACGUAGGGAGCAAGCGUUGUCCGGAAUUACUGGGUGUAAAGGGAGCGUAGGCGGGAAUGCAAGUUGGAAGUGAAAGGUAUGGGCUCAACCCAUGAACUGCUUUCAAAACUGUAUUUCUUGAGUGAAGUAGAGGCAGGCGGAAUUCCUAGUGUAGCGGUGAAAUGCGUAGAUAUUAGGAGGAACACCAGUGGCGAAGGCGGCCUGCUGGGCUUUAACUGACGCUGAGGCUCGAAAGCGUGGGUAGCAAACAGGAUUAGAUACCCCAGUACCA